GAUGAACGCUGGCGGCGUGCCUAAUACAUGCAGGUAGAACGCUGAAGCUUGGUGCUUGCACCGAGCGGAUGAGUUGCGAACGGGUGAGUAACGCGUAGGUAACCUGCCUGGUAGCGGGGGAUAACUAUUGGAAACGAUAGCUAAUACCGCAUAACAGUAGAUAUUGCAUGAUAUCUGCUUGAAAGGUGCAAAUGCAUCACUACCAGAUGGACCUGCGUUGUAUUAGCUAGUUGGUGAGGUAACGGCUCACCAAGGCGACGAUACAUAGCCGACCUGAGAGGGUGAUCGGCCACACUGGGACUGAGACACGGCCCAGACUCCUACGGGAGGCAGCAGUAGGGAAUCUUCGGCAAUGGGGGGAACCCUGACCGAGCAACGCCGCGUGAGUGAAGAAGGUUUUCGGAUCGUAAAGCUCUGUUGUAAGAGAAGAACGAGUGUGAGAGUGGAAAGUUCACACUGUGACGGUAUCUUACCAGAAAGGGACGGCUAACUACGUG
rnacentral:rRNA from 1 species